UACGGAGGGUGCGAGCGUUGUUCGGAAUCACUGGGCGUAAAGGGCGUGUAGGCGGUCUGUUAAGUCUGAUGUGAAAGCCCGGGGCUCACCCCCGGAAGUGCAUUGGAUACUGGCGGACUCGAGUCCCGGAGAGGAGGGUGGAAUUCCUGGUGUAGCGGUGAAAUGCGUAGAUAUCAGGAGGAACACCGGUGGCGAAGGCGGGUCUCUGGGCCGUAACUGACGCUGAGGAGCGAAAGCGUGGGGAGCGAACAGG
rnacentral:rRNA from 1 species